AAUUGGUCAAUGAAAUUUGAACCUAUAGUGCAGGGAAUAGAUUGAUUUUGGUUUUGUUUUAAAAUUGAACGACACAAAACAAAUGCGACUCUGUUCCAAUUGAAUAUGAUUUAAAUUUCAUCGAACUGAAUAAGUACUAUAGGUAGGACCUUGGGCCUUAGGAGGAUAUUAAAUGUGGUUGUUUGUCGAUGCGAAGCGUUUUCUUAUAGUUUGUGAUAUACAUACGUAAAAUAAUUAAAAUUAUGAUGCACAAUGAUGGACAAUACAAUUAAAUGAUGGUCCAGGUGUAGGUAACCACGUCCAUGUUUGCUACGUUAGAUUUUGUACCGUAACGAUGUUAAAUUUAGUCUUUGAUGCCUGCGACUCAGUGCAUUUCAGAUUUUUUAUUUGUUGAUUUAAUAUUUUGUGUAAAUAAACCUCAGUCAUAGCCUCAACAAAUACUUCUUCUUCUUCUUUUAUAAUUUUAAUAUGUUUGUCGUAAUUGAAUGUACCUUACCUACUCGUAUGCAUGCAAAAUAGGCAUACUACAAUAACAUUUUUACUAAAGCAAAAAAAUGUGUUAAGUGACAAAAUAAGUGUGGAAAAUGCCUGUUUUUAGAUCUAAUGACAAGCUAUCGACAUAGCUACAAUGAAAAAAAGAAUUUUCAAUAAUUAUAAUUUUAUUUAAGUAAACUUUAGCCCUGAUCGUUAUUACUUUUGUUUUGAUUAUUUUUCAUGUAGUUAGUCGAUAACAAGCUUUAAAUUCAAUGUUAGCUUUAAUUACUGGGUAAUGUUAUGUAUACCUAUUUAAAUAUAGUUGUAUCGAGGAUAUUGCUUUUUUAACUUAAUCAUAGUUUUCAUUAGAUGGUUCUUUAAUUGUUAAAAUAUUUACAUAUCACAAUACAGCUACAUUCUUAAAUAUUAAGUUUAUCGUUUUUAAAUUUCUCGUCCCUAUAACGUCGCAAAUCGCAACAUGACAAAAUGGUUUAAAAGACAUUUUACAGUUACUGAUAAGUGAUAAGUAAUAUCAAAAGUUUAUCCGAUCACAGUUAGGCGCCAAUAAAUCAAAUAACUUAAAUAUUCGUCCAAUUUUAAAUUAACAAUUCUUUUAAGCGCCAUUUUUAUAGUAUAUUAAAUAACGUCGCUUAAACCAUUUUGGAUUUCUUGUACGAUUGAAAUUUCAAUGCAAUCUAGUACUAAACUCUUCACUAAAUUUUCAGAAACAUAGGGUUACUUUAGCUAACGGUUUAACCGUUGCGUUUAAAAAUAAAAUUAUAUAACAUCAAUUUUAAUAAAGUUAUAUAAAAAACAAAUUUGCCUUAGGCCUUGCUAAUUGUUUGGUAACAAUCUUCGUGUAAUUUAAAUUCUUAUAUUUUUAGAUAGAAUUCAAUAUAAGUUAUUAAUGUUAUUAUAAUAUAUCUAUAAUUUAUAUAAAGUUAGUUUAAUAUACUAAUAGAGCGGUGAUCAUAGUGUACAAUACGAAUUGUGUCGGGUCUCGGAAAAGGCACGUUUGGGUGAUUGUAUUAAUUAUCAUAUUUAAGACCCUUAUGGUCUUAUUCUACCCUAAAGUACCUUUUUCUAUGGUACGUCACAAUCACGUAGUUUGAAAUAAUGAUGUGCCGUCGCAAAUUGUUCCUAAAAUUGCGAAAUAACCACAUUAAAAAAUCUCGGAAAAUCUCAUAUUAGGGAAUAAAUUUUCGGUUUCUAAAUAGAAAGUUUCCUUAUUUCCUAUAACAUUUCUGAAAAUAUUUCCAACUUUUUUGAAACUUUCCACAACUUGAACAACUGUAGUUUUAACAGUAUUGUAACAGUACGAAAGCUCUAAUAUAUUGCUGACUGUACCCCUAACCCCUAGUAAUAUACCUAUGGCGUCAUAUUGGAUGCGGAUGCACACCGCUCAUGUGUGCGAGCAGGACACCGCUGUACACUUGCAUAGCGCUGUCUUGCUCACACACCGAAGCGUCUCUUAAUGUACACAAGUUUUAUAUUUUAACAGUUGUUGGAACUCUGCUACUUUGGAUGUUGUCUCUAGACUAUCAAAUAUAGCGUUCAGUGUUUUUG